rnacentral:rRNA from 1 species
UACAGAGGGGGCAAGCGUUGUUCGGAAUUACUGGGCGUAAAGGGCGCGUAGGCGGCCUUCUAAGUCAGACGUGAAAUCCCCGGGCUCAACCCGGGAACUGCGUCUGAUACUGGAAGGCUUGAAUCCGGGAGAGGGAUGUGGAAUUCCAGGUGUAGCGGUGAAAUGCGUAGAUAUCUGGAGGAACACCGGUGGCGAAGGCGGGUCUCUGGGCAUUUCCUGACGCUGAGGCGCGAAAGCGUGGGGAGCAAACGGGAUUAGAAA